GAUGAACGCUAGCGGCAGGCCUAAUACAUGCAAGUCGAACGAGAUUAAGAGGCUUGCUUCUUAUGAAAGUGGCGCACGGGUGCGUAACGCGUAUGCAACCUACCUUAAUCAGGGGGAUAGCCCGAAGAAAUUCGGAUUAAGACCGCAUAAAAACACAGGAUAGCAUUAUCCAAUGUUCAAAUAUUUAUAGGAUUAAGAUGGGCAUGCGUGUCAUUAGCUAGUUGGCGGGGUAACGGCCCACCAAGGCGACGAUGACUAGGGGAUCUGAGAGGAUGACCCCCCACACUGGUACUGAGACACGGACCAGACUCCUACGGGAGGCAGCAGUAAGGAAUAUUGGUCAAUGGAGGGAACUCUGAACCAGCCAUGCCGCGUGCAGGAAGACAGCCCUCUGGGUCGUAAACUGCUUUUAUUCGGGAAUAAACCUUUCUACGUGUAGGAAGCUGAAUGUACCGAAGGAAUAAGGAGCGGCUAACUCCGUG
rnacentral:rRNA from 1 species